rnacentral:lncRNA from 1 species
AUGUUUUGGGAGCACAACAUGUUCCAGUGGAUCGAUAUGCGGGUGACGUUGCUGAGAUCAAUUGAAGAUAUAAUCAAAAGUUUGAUUCCGCCAGAAGAUCGUCAUUAGGUACGGAAUGAAUGCACUUUUUAGCUACAACAAUUGUCUUCCUUUGAAUGGGGUAAUUCAAACUUGCCAAACGGAAGGUCUCCAAUAUUCGACCGACAUUCCCAUUGUUUCUGUUAAAAGAUUAAAUUCUUGUUAGGCUGGUUUAAAUGAAGGUAUUGAAGUGUCAACGAAUGGACCUCAUUCUUUUGACAUUUGAAUACCGUCAUUUAACCCCAACUUAACAAGAAUUUAAUCUUUUGAAUGGAACAUUGGGAAUGCCGGUCGAAUAUUGGAGUCCUACUGCUUGACAAGUUUG